GACGAACGCUGGCGGCGUGCUUAACACAUGCAAGUCGAGCGGUAAGGCCCUUUCGGGGUACGACGAGCGGCGAACGGGUGAGUAACACGUGGGUGACCUGCCCUUACGCUCUGGGAGUAAGCCUGGGAAACUGGGUCGUAAUACCGGAUAUGACUCCAUGACGCAUGUUGUGGGGUGGAAAGCCUUGUGCGGCUAGGGAUGGGCCCGCGGCCUAUCAGCUUGUUGGUGGGGUG
rnacentral:rRNA from 1 species